GGAAGUAAAAGUCGUAACAAGGUUUCCGUAGGUGAACCUGCGGAAGGAUCAUUAACGCGCAGGCCGGAGGCUGGCCCCCCACGAUAGGGCCAAACGUCCGUCAGGGGUGAGCAGAUGUGCGCCGGCCGUACCGCCCCAUUCUUGUCUACCUUACUCGGUUGCCUCGGCGGGCCGCGCUCUCCCAGGAGAGCCGUUCGGCGAGCCUCUCUUUAGUGGCUAAACGCUGGACCGCGCCCGCCGGAGGACAGACGCAAAAAAAUUCUUUCAGAAGAGCUGUCAGUCUGAGCGUUAGCAAGCAAAAAUCAGUUAAAACUUUCAACAACGGAUCUCUUGGUUCCGGCAUCGAUGAAGAACGCAGCGAAAUGCGAUAAGUAAUGUGAAUUGCAGAAUUCCGUGAAUCAUCGAAUCUUUGAACGCACAUUGCGCCCCCUGGCAUUCCGGGGGGCAUGCCUGUUCGAGCGUCAUUUCAGCCCCUCAAGCCCGGCUUGUGUGAUGGACGACCGUCCGGCGCCCCCGUCUUUGGGGGUGCGGGACGCGCCCGAAAAGCAGUGGCCAGGCCGCGAUUCCGGCUUCCUAGGCGAAUGGGCAACAAACCAGCGCCUCCAGGACCGGCCGCCCUGGCCUCAAAAUCUGUUUUAUACUUAUCAGGUUGACCUCGGAUCAGGUAGGGAUACCCGCUGAACUUAAGCAUAUCAAUAAGCGGAGGAAAAG
rnacentral:misc_RNA from 1 species